GUGUUACCUGAGGUAUAAACUUUUGUAGUGGAAAUAUUUAACAGAAAACUGUAUUCUUCAAUAACUGUGAUUCACCUUUCGUAAACAGAUGUUUUCAAUGAAAAGUUGUAAUUUAAUCUUGUCAUCCGAUCUGUGACAUCAUAAACAUGAUGUAAUUCAAAAAAAAUACACAGCAAGGAAAUGUACCUUUCAAUUUUCAAUUUUACGUGAUUGCAUCACUAAACGGAAA